GUAAGUGCAGUAAUGCAUUCAGCUUACCAGUACUAAUAGGCCGUGAGGCUUGACCCU
rnacentral:rRNA from 1 species